ACCAGGGAUGACAGUGGGGAAGGGGUGCCUGGAGUGGCAGCUGCUGCUGUGGCCUCAGGUCCAGCCGGGGCCAGAGAGGGCUGUUCCUUGCCGGCCUGCCGCUCAGUGGUUUCCUGUCUUGCUGAAUGGCCGUUGCUCAGUGGUGAUGAUUCAUGGCAUUUGGAAAGUGUGGCUGUGUUCCGAACAGGGAAGUGAAAAAGAACCCUGCCAAGGACAGUGCAGGACACGGUGUCACAUGAUGCGAAGCUUUGCUUUGGAAAAUGCAGGGGGCGGGGGCACCACCUUGACACUAUUGUGAUGGUUUGGGCCGCAUGAGUGCAGCCCUGCUGGCCCUCCUUCAGGGCCUCAGCUUUUCUGAGCGUCGGUCGCCGAGCUGCCCCUCGGAAGCGGCUGCUGGUUUUGGCCGAGGCGGCUUUGGGCAGAAGGAAGUGGACGGGUGAUUCAUUUCAUAAAUGUUGGUUCCUCCAGAGAACUGAACAGAACCUGCAACCCUGCAGGUGCUUUUCAACAAGUGGAUGACUUCCAGGCCGCUCUAGCCAAUGAAGAUGGAGCAGGGACCCUGAGAUAGAAGGCUUCAUUUGGCAUGACUCAGCCUUGGAGACAUCCAUCCCCUUGGCCUGUGUUGUUGAGUGCCUGGUUCUGUAAAUAUUGGCAGUUAGAAACCAGCCUGAGAGCUACCAAGCAAUGAUCUGGAAGGACGGCAUUAUCAAGUGCCUGUGACUCCAGGACUCUAAGGCCUGUCUGGAAGAAAAAAGAAGCAACCUGUAGGCCCAUGUGGAGAUCGUGAAGGAGGGAAACAUCCCCUGAAGUGGCCCAAAGUGAAGGUGUGGUUCCCAGAGUGGAAACGUGAAGUGGAGAAAAGGACCCUUGUGACGUCGCUGAAUGGAGAACUUGCUUGUGCGUCAUCAACUAGAAUGUCUAGGAUAAUCAUGCCGAUUGGGAGAAACCUCUGUUCCUUGCUCCUCUCUCAAAGCUGAGAGAGACCUGGGGAGAGAGGCCCCUGGGCAUCACUUCUGCCUACCUGGAUCCCUUAAUAUCCCAGGAGGCGGGAGGAUGCUUCCCUGAGAGCCCAGAGGUCACCCAGCAAGGUUAGGGCCAGAAGUGUUCCCAGGGGGAGUGCCAUCGAGUCUCAGAGGCAUCCUUGGAAGCUAUGCUUCUGCUGGCAAGAAGGAGCAGCCGAGCCAGCCGAGGCAGGCAGGACUUUGCUGCCUGGAGAUCAGAUCUCAGUCCUCCCUUGAGGGUCUCCACGGUCAAGUCAGCAGGAGAGCAGGCUCCCUCUCUCUCGGCAGUGGCAGAAACUACAGUGGAGGUGAGACCAGACUGGCAGGGCCGCCAAAGAGCCCACGUGGAUGGACCGCCCUUGAAGAUCUGUGUGGGCUGUAUCUGCUUCAAGUCUGCCUGAAACCUGGGGGUCCAGGAGUCUCUUCCUUAUGCCCCAAGGAGCUGACAGGCUCUUCAGAUGGUUCCCACCUAGGGAGGGUGCCGCGAGGACUAGGCAGUGCUGCUUUAUGCACUUGCCAUAUCCGCUUCACGGAUCUGUUUAAUCCAUCAUCUAAUGUCGUUAGUGUCACCUGUCAUUAUGUUGGGCUCCUAGUUUACACUUUAGAAGUCCAUUCUCCUUCAAACCAAAUGGUUCUUUCUGGCAGACCUGCCCCACCCCAUCCUCCUCACCUCCCAGGAAGUCUGGGCUCCUUUUUGCUUUGUGUUCCAAACAAAUUCAUGCCUCUUACUCAUUCCCUUGCUCAUUCACCCCUCCUCUCAAAACUUACACUAAAGAGAUCUGUGUGCUGGGCCUGUGCCCUUACCAAAGUGCUGUCACCUGCUUAUGACACUCCCAUGCACCCCCCCCAAUACACACAGGAAAGUUUCUUUAGUCUUUCAGUUUCCAUGUCUUAAUUUCUGAAUAGAUUCAGAUGACCUCC